CAGCAGCCGCGGUAAUACGUAGGGUGCAAGCGUUAAUCGGAAUUACUGAGCGUAAAGCGUGCGCAGGCGGUUAUAUAAGUCAGAUGUGAAAUCCCCGGGCUCAACCUGGGAACUGCAUUUGAGACUGUAUGGCUAGAGUGUGUCAGAGGGGGGUAGAACUCCACGUGUAGCAGUGAAAUGCGUAGAUAUGUGGAGGAAUACCGAUGGCGAAGGCAGCCCCCUGGGAUAACACUGACGCUCAUGCACGAAAGCGUGGGGAGCAAACAGGAUUAGAUACCCGAGUAGUCCCUGUCUCUUAUAC
rnacentral:rRNA from 1 species